CCUACGGGAGGCAGCAGUGAGGAAUAUUGGUCAAUGGACGAGAGUCUGAACCAGCCAAGUCGCGUGAAGGAUGACGGCCCUAUGGGUUGUAAACUUCUUUUGUCUGGGAGUAAAGCAAGGUAUGCAUACCCUAUUGUGAGUACCCUAUGAAUAAGGAUCGGCUAACUCCGUGCCAGCAGCCGCGGUAAUACGGAGGAUCCGAGCGUUAUCCGGAUUUAUUGGGUUUAAAGGGAGCGGAGGUGGAUGGUUAAGUCAGUCGGGAAAGUUUGCGGCUCAACCGUAACACUGCAGGUGAAACUGGAUGCCUUGAGUACAGUAGAGGUGUGCGGAAUUCGUGGUGUAGCGGUGAAAUGCUUAGACAUCACGAAGAACUCCGAUUGCGAAGGCAGCUUACUGGACCGCAACUGACACUGAUGCUCGAAAGCGUGGGUAUCAAACAGGAUUAGAUACCCGAGUAGUC
rnacentral:rRNA from 1 species